GGGAAAGAAGGCGCGGCCAAUGUAUUUUACAGCGCUUGAGGCCGAAAUUCUGAUGGCAGCAUAUGCCGAUAACAUGCAAAUUUUGCGGAAAAAAAGUAACACAGCCUCAGCUGCAAAAGAAAGGGAGCAUGCAUGGCAAUACAUAGCCGACAGAGUCAAUGCGUGCAACCCAACAGGCCCCAAACGUUCCUGGUAGCAAGUAAAAAUGAAAUAUAAAAAAUGUAGAGGAAGAGGGUCCAGCCACUUUUCCAACAAACCUUUCCUCACUCCCUGUAAAGCAGCUGUACAAGACCUGUUUGAUCAAGAAAAUA
ensembl:lncRNA